CAUCAGUGUGUAUCAAACCCAACACAUCACUGGCUCAUUCAUCUUUUUCAAUAAAAGAUGACUUGGUCAUCUUUCUAAGCAAACAAGACUCACAGGUAGGUAACGAUUCAUAAUUAUCUUUAUCAAGAAUCUCUUCUUGAGCUAAUCUGUUCAUCAUGUUCUUAUUGAUAUGACCUAGCCUAUAAUAUCAAAGGUAGGUAUCUGUGACA
rnacentral:lncRNA from 1 species